UACGUAGGGUGCGAGCGUUAAUCGGAAUUACUGGGCGUAAAGCGUGCGCAGGCGGUUCGUUGUGUCGGUGGUGAAAGCCCCGGGCUUAACCUGGGAAUGGCCAUGGAUACUGUCGUGCUAGAGUGCGGAAGGGGCUACUGGAAUUCUCGGUGUAGCGGCGAAAUGCGCAGAUAUCAGGAGGAACACCAACAGCGAAGGCAGCACUCUGGGCCGGUACUGACGCUGAGGAGCGAAAGCAUGGGGAGCGAACAGG
rnacentral:rRNA from 1 species